UUAAAGCGUGUGUACCUUGUUUCUGCCGCUCUCACAGGACUGCAGGCUGGCCAGGAUCUGGCUCUCUAUAGCCGACACCCACGAGUCCCGGUCCUCCAGGCUCGGAGCCUCAAAGUGCCACGUCUGCCCGGUGAACGACACGACGAUAAAGUCUGCAUUCUCUUCCUCUGCGAGUAAAAGGGGAGCAGAACAAACUCAAAAGGACGUAGAGAAAAACAAAUGCGAAACGACACAAAAGAGCAGUUUGAUGGAAGUGAGGAGGAGCAGCGCUGAAGUCCUCUGUCUCCACCUUGAGACGACAGACCACCAGAACGAUCAUCAACCACAGACAGAGUGGCUGGACACAGCUGAGGAACUGGCCGUGAGACAGGAAGUGAACGUUUGUAAUGCAGUGUGUCAUAGCAUGAAAUCCUCUUUAGAGUUUUGACGCAGUGGCAUGCAGACCGGAAGAUUAUAUUUUCACAGGCAGUGAGCAGGAAGAAAAAAAGAGAAUUACAUUUUCUUUUAAAUAUAUUUUGAGGUUAUGGCUAUUGCUGGUGCAGGAUCAGCAAAGAGAGAAAGAAAGAAAUUGACUGAAGAACAAAACUAGCCUUUAAAGGACAAUGAGUGCCUUUUUAAACCUGCAUUCUUCAAAUAGCCAGCAGGGGGCGACUCCUGAUUUGAAAAGGAAGUCAGGUUUUAUAGAAGUCUAUGAGAAAAUGACACAACUUCUCGAUUUUAAUGCCUCAGUUUUAUAUCUCAAACACUGGUUUCAAGUCUUCUUCAAUACAGAAUGAUGUUUGUUUGAUAAAUUAUGGAACUUAGAGUAAAAUAGAAGAUAAAGCAGUGCAUGCUUUUUGUGAUUGUCACAUUUUAAAACCCUAUUCCACAAACCAGCGGGUGGCGUCACUUAUCUAUCAGUCUAUGGAUGAAGCACGGGUGAAAACACAAAUCCGAAAUUGGCCCUCUUCUUCGUAGAUUGGUAUGAAAUAUAACUAUUUAAUUUAUGAAUAGAGUUUUACAUCAACACACUGUAUGAAUUUAUGUAAGAGGUUAUGUUCUGUGUGACUAACGUCAGCUGCAUUUGUCGAACAAAGCACGCACCACAAAACUUUAUGCGAAUACAGUUUGAAUCACUAUGCAUCCUGCAAACUGCUUGGCUUUAAAAUGAAAAAUAGUAUUAAAUAGAAGUUGUGUCUUUCUUUCACUUGCUUCUAAAAUAAAUGCACG